AGUCAACCUAACUCGUGGACGUGGAUAACCUCGGGAAACUGAGAAUAAACCACGAUAGAUCAUAGUGCCUGGAAUGGCUUAUGGUCCAAACAGUUUACUGCCAUGGGAUGGGACUGCGGCCUAUCAGCUUGUUGGUGAGGUAAUGGCCCACCAAGGCGAUUACAGGUACGGGCUCUGAGAGGAGAAGCCCGGAGAUGGGUACUGAGACACGGACCCAGGCCCUAUGGGGCGCAGCAGGCGAGAAACCUUAGCAAUGUGCGAAAGCACGACUGGGUCAGUCCGAGUGAUUCCUGAUAAAGGAGUCUUUUGCUUGUCCUAAAAGCACAGGUGAAUAAGGGGUGGGCAAGUCUGGUGUCAGCCGCCGCGGUAAUACCAGCACCUCGAGUGGUCAGGACGUUUAUUGGGCCUAAAGCAUCCGUAGCCGGCUCUGCAAGUCUUCGGUCAAAUCCACCUGCUCAACAGAUGGGCUGCUGGAGAUACUACAGAGCUAGGGAGUGGGAGAGGCAGACGGUAUUCAGUGGGUAGGGGUAAAAUCCUCUGAUCCAUUGAGGACCACCAGUGGCGAAGGCGGUCUGCCAGAACACGUUCGACGGUGAGGGAUGAAAGCUGGGGGAGCAAACCGGAUUAGAUACCCGGGUAGUCCCAGCUGUAAACGAUGCAAACUCGGUGAUGCAUUGGCUUAUGGCCAAUGCAGUGCCGCAGGGAAGCCGUUAAGUUUGCCGCCUGGGAAGUACGGACGCAAGUCUGAAACUUAA
rnacentral:rRNA from 2 species